rnacentral:rRNA from 1 species
ACGACGGAGAUAGCCCAGCACCGAAGCCCGUUAUUAUUUAUAUAUUAACGUGCAAUGUGGUGUUUGGGAGAACUCGUCAACCAAUAUAUUUAUAAUAUUGUUCAAGUCCUUCUUGAAUGGGGCCACAAUUCCAUAGAGGGUGCCAGGCCCGUAGAAUUUUUAUACAUUAUUAUUGGUGAGAUUCUCCUUAGAGUCGAGUUGCUUGAGAGUGCAGCUCUAAGUAGGUGGUAAACUCCAUCUAAGGCUAAAUAUAACCACGAGGCCGAUAGAUAACAAGUACCGUGAGGGAAAGUUGAAAAGAACUUUGAAGAGAGAGUUCAAAAGUACGUGAAACCGUUCAGAAGUAAACCUAUUAUACUCCAAUAUUUAUAUAAUAUGCAGGGAGAUUCAACAUCUUUACCGAUUACAACACAACAUUAACAUUUUUGUGACGUUCAUAUACAAUCACACACACAUGCAUAUUUUAUAUAUGUAUGUGCUCGUGUAUUUUUGUAUUGUUCGCACGGUUUUUGUUUGUAUAGUUUGUAUCGGAGUUGUGCAUUUCUUCCUGUAUUAUUUUACGUUAUGACACGUUGUUUAACUAUUUUAUGGCCCUAUAAUAACAGACCAGACAAAAUUUUUAGAUUAAAAUUUAUAAUUUAUAUAUUGUACAUGCGUAAUCUUAUUUUGUUCUGGAUAUUAAUGGUCUCCUAAUAGUUAUAUAUAUAUAUAUAUAUUUAAUACAACGUUAGAAGUUUUUUUAAUAUGAAUGAAUAGAUUUAUAUAUUUAUAUUUAUUAUAAUUAUAUAAAUAAUUAUAAUUUAUUUUGUCCAUAACGUAUUUAAGAUUAUAUGGGUAAUAAUAGGACCCGUCUUGAAACACGGACCAAGGAGUCUAGCAUAUAUGCAAGUCAUGGAGUCAAUAAUAUAAACUCAUAGACAUAAUUAAUGUAAAGAUAUGAAUAUAAAUAUAUUAUAUAAAUAUUUAUGGAAGAUGUGUAGUAAAUAUUUAUUUAUUUAUUUAUAAAUAAAUAAAUAUUUGACAAACAAACUACUCCGUAUUCCUGGGGCGUUCCAUAUAAAUUUUAUUAUAUUACUAUUUUAAAAUUUGGGGCGCACCAAGAGCAUAUACGCUGGGACCCGAAAGAUGGUGAACUAUGCCUGGUCAGGAUGAAGUCAGGGAACC